CCGCACCGCACCCCGCCCCGCCCGCGGGCUGGAGCCCGCCCCAAGCGCCGCGCCUCUCGUGAGCCGUGUAAUUAGAGCCUGGUGGUGUCAGGGUGGUAAUUACGCAGAUUGAGUGUGUGAGGGGAAUGGGAAUCACAAGUAGAUGCUUUGUUGGGCUUGAAAGGAGCUAAUUCAGCCAAAACCCGGGUGUUUGAAACGUGCUGAUUCUGGGAGUUUUGGUUCAUAGCGAAGAAAGCGACGUAUUUUUGAAGCUGCAUUGCUGGUGAAGCAAGAACACGGAACCAAGCAUUGCAGAAAACUGCAUUAACUAUGUAAUUGUUGAUGUAUAGGAGAACACCUGAGGGGGAAGAUGUCUUUGUAUUGAAAUGUCUUCCUUUAACGCAGUCCAGAUACGUGGAAAUCUUUGCAAAAGUGGAGGUGAGCCAAGAUUCAGUGUUGCCCAAGACUGCUCAGCCAUCACACAACCCUCAUUGAGUUCAUUUCCUCUAGCUAUAUGAAGAGGAGACAAUCUCCUAAAUAACUAUCCUGAAGUUUCCUAAAGAACUGAUACAAAAUUGGGAACAAAUCUCCAGGAAGCCAGGGGAGGUUUAGAUUAGAUAUUAUGAAAUAUGUCUUCACCAAAAGGGUUGUCAAGCACUGGAAGAGGCUGCCCAGGGAAGUGGUUGAGUCACAAUCCUGGAAGUAUUCAAAAGAUGUGUAGAUGUGGCACUUAGGGACAUGGUUUAGUGGGGACUUGGCAAUGCUAGGUUAACAGAUUUGAUGAUCUUAGAGGUCUUUUCUAAAUGAUUCUGUGAUUCUAAGUAUGUAACUUGCUUGUCUACCUACUAAUAAUAGCUAUUACUCAGUCAUUACUCAGUUCUUGAGUAUCAGCUUUAUGCAGAGCAGUAGCCUUAUCAGCCACUGUUGCCUUCCCAAUGCUUUGUUGCUGGCUCAGGUUUCUUGAGCAAAUAGAAACAGACACUAUUUUUCUGUUCAGGGCAUAAGUCAACUUUGAAAUCAUCCAACCUGUCACACUUCUCUCUCUUCUGUUUAUAGUCUGGAAACUUUUUUCUGCAUAUGCACAGGGCAGUAGCACUGUUGUUUGUUAGUCUUUCAAGCACUCUUGCAGUGCAAAUGAUACUUCCCAGUCUUAUAAGAAGGACUGGAAAGGAAGAUAGAGCACAGCACAAAGCAUUGACUUCCAGAUGAUGUAACUUUCAUAAGUACAGCUCCCAGUGUACUACUUUACCACCAGAUAGCACUUAAUCCAAAACUUUUGUUGUGUCUCCUCUGUCCCUUUGGAAGAAGAAAUGGGAAAAUGUUGAGAGUAAAAACAAUCUGGCUCCAAUUCUGCCAUGUGUCAUUAGAGUGAGUAAUAAAAUCCAGUUUUCACUGCUA